UGAGGAAUAUUGGACAAUGGGCGCAAGCCUGAUCCAGCCAUGCCGCGUGAGUGAUGAAGGCCUUAGGGUUGUAAAGCUCUUUCGGCGCAGAAUAUAAUGAAUGUAUGCGCAUAAGAAGCCCCGGCUAAAUUCGUGCCAGCAGCCGCGGUAAUACGAAUGGGGCAAGCGUUGUUCGGAAUCACUGGGCGUAAAGAGUGCGUAGGCGGUAGAGCAAGUCAGAAGUGAAAUCCCCGGGCUUAACCUGGGAACUGCUUUUGAAACUGCUUUACUAGAGUCUUGGAGAGGUUAGCAGAAUUCCGAGUGUAGAGGUGAAAUUCGCAGAUAUUCGGAGGAAUACCAAUGGCGUAGGCAGCUAACUGGACAAGUACUGACGCUGAGGCACGAAAGCGUGGGGAUCAAA
rnacentral:rRNA from 1 species